UUCGGAUUGUAGUCUGCAACCCGACUACAUGAAGCUGGAAUCGCUAGUAAUCGCGGAUCAGAAUGCCGCGGUGAAUACGUUCCCGGGUCUUGUACACACCGCCCGUCACACCAUGGGAGUCGGAAAUGCCCGAAGCCGGUGACCUAACCUUUCAGGAAGGAGCCGUCGAAGGCAGGUCUGAUAACUGGGGUGAAGUCGUAACAAGGUACC
rnacentral:rRNA from 1 species